CCUACGGGCGGCAGCAGUGAGGAAUAUUGGUCAAUGGUCGGGAGACUGAACCAGCCAAGCCGCGUGAGGGAUGAAGGUACAGAGUAUCGUAAACCUCUUUUGUCAGGGAACAAAGGCGGGGACGCGUCCCCGGAUGAGUGUACCUGAAGAAAAAGCAUCGGCUAACUCCGUGCCAGCAGCCGCGGUAAUACGGAGGAUGCGAGCGUUAUCCGGAUUUAUUGGGUUAAAAGGGUGCGCGGGCGGUCUGUUAAGUCAGCGGCAAAACCCCGGGGCUCAACCCCGGCCCGCCGUUGAAACUGGCAGUCUCGAGUUGGAGAGAAGUAUGCGGAAUGCGCGGUGUAGCGGUGAAAUGCAUAGAUAUCGCGCAGAACUCCGAUUGCGAAGGCAGCAUGCCGGCUCCACACUGACGCUGAGGCACGAAAGCGUGGGUAUCGAACAGGAUUAGAUACCCCUGUAGUC
rnacentral:rRNA from 1 species